GCAACUCGCCUGCAUGAAGUCGGAAUUGCUAGUAAUCGCGGAUCAGCAUGCCGCGGUGAAUGCGUUCCCGGGUCUUGUACACACCGCCCGUCACACCAUGGGAGUCGGAAAUGCCCGAAGUCUGUGACCCCAACCGGAAGGAGGGAGCAGCCGAAGGCAGGUCGGAUGACUGGGGUGAAGUCGUAACAAGGUAGC
rnacentral:rRNA from 1 species